GAAGUAAAAGUCGUANCAAGGUUUCCGUAGGUGAACCUGCGGAAGGAU
rnacentral:rRNA from 1 species